rnacentral:lncRNA from 1 species
GGCAAGGCAGCCCCCGGCCGCCCUCGCACACAAAGCGGCGGCGAGCGGAGCGGAGCGGCUCAGCACCCCGCCUCCUGCCCCCGCCGCUCUCCGGCUCGCCGCCCCGCGGGCCGCCCUGCCAUCGCGCCGGGGGCGGGCGGGGGGCGGGCGGGGGGGGCCGGGCGGCGACGGCGACGACGACAACAACAACAACAACACACAGCACCCGGCCCGGGCGUACUCCCUGCGCUUUUUUUCCUUUUUUUUUUUCCCUUUUUUUCCCUUAUUUCCUUUUUUUCCCCCCCUUUCUCCCCUUUUUCCUUUUUUUUUCCCUUUUUUUUUUUUUUUUUUUUUUUUUUUUUCUCCCCCCCCCCCCUCCCUCCCUUUUUCCCUCCUCCUCUGGGUGUGCGCACGCCGCAAACCUCCCCCUUCCCUCCCCUCCCUCCCCUCCCUCCCCAACGCUGCCCAGCCGCGGGCAGGGGGCCGGGGGAGGCAGGCGCGGGGGCGCGCACGGGGGCGAGGCGGCGCGCUGCGCUGAAGGUCAGAGCGCAGGAGCUGGGUGCGGAGGGGCUGCGAUGCCCUGGGGAGGGGGAUACGGAGGAGAAGGGAAGGGGGCAGAGAGAACGGGAUGCCGGGGUGAGGCUCCGCUGCUCCUCCCAAUUAAUGCGCUCGCAGCGCUGUGCCGCCGCGUCUGGCUGUCUGGCUGCCCCCCCCCUCCUUUUCUGCCUCCUCCUCCUCCUCCUCCUCCUCCUCCUCGCUGGCCGCCUCCGCCCGCCGCAGUCAGCGCUGGUAAACAACAGCCCCGGCGCCGCUCCGCCGCCGCCGCCGCUUCUCCCCUCUGCGGCCGCGCGGGGACGGGGAGCGCGCUCCCGCCCUUCCCCGGGCGCGCUCCCGCGCCACUCGCCCAGGCGGCGGCGGCGGCGCGCGGGGCGGGGCGGGUGCGCCCCGAAGCUGGCGCUCGGCGCGGUUCGGGUCCGCUCGGGUCGGUUCGGAUCCGUUCGGAUCCGUUCGGCUCCGCUCGGAGGCGGCCAUGUGGCAUCGCCUCCAUGGGCAGCGCCCGGGUGCUUCAAGGCCUGGCUGCCCGGCAGCCUCACCCUGACUGAGGCGUUGUCACCGACCCUGGGGGCUUUUUUUGUCAUCUCUGGGGCAUUUUCGCCACUCCUGGGGGGCAUUUUUGCCAUCCCCGGGGUAUUUUCACCAUCAGGGCAUCUUCAGCAGCACCGUGGGACUGGAUGCUGA